GUCUAUCCAAAAGUCGAUAGCUAUUUCCGGCGACGAGCCUUCUACAACGCACGUGCUAGGCCUAAGAACGGGGGAACAUCCGGGGUCUAUCCAAAAGUCGAUAGCUGUAGUAACCCCCACAGCUCAGACCAGUUUUACAAACUACGGAAGACACCGGAACAACGUCUAACUCCGAUAGUUCAGAUUUUUUGGAUACCGUCAUUGAAGGAGUAAGAAACUACAAUCAAUCCCUUGAAGAAAAUUUCAACAUUGGAGACACUCUUCAGGAUUUUUUUCAGCUAAGGGAUAGAAUAACUGAAAACUUUGAGCAUGUCUACAGUGAGUAUGUUCAAUCCUUGCAUAAUACUCUGGAAUCCUUAAAUUGCUGUGUUAUGGUGAAUAAAGAAUUGUUAAGACAAUAUUAUUUUAGAAAUGGCUCAGAAGCGUUCGAGUAAUUCUCCCUCUUCAGAAGCUAAAAAAAUUAGAAUUGAAAAUGACCCUACAUCAUCACAUGAUCUCUGCUUUGGUGAAACUUCGACUUUUUCAAGUAGUCUGUUACAACGUGACCCGUGCACAACCCUGAAUCCUUUUUUAACCGAUGCAAUCAAUGAGUUGAAUGAUGGUUUAACAUCGACACUUAGACACGAUAUUCAGAGCCCUAAUCCGGGGUUGACCGAUAGUUUAACAGCGACACAAACACAGCUGCCUCAUCAUGACGUGUUCUUAGAAUUGAAUCAGAGUCUGUUAACGUUGCAGAAUAGUCUAAAUGAUCAAGAUCAACCUGUGCCGUUAAAUCCCUUUUUGAUAGAAGCUGUAAACCAAUUGAACGAAAGUUUUAACUUAUCUAACGAACAAAAUGUCGUUAAUGCAACACCUCCAGUAACCUAUCAACAUCAAGAACCUGCAUCUCAACAAGAUUUGCUUCAUGGUCUUAAUCAAAGUCUUAUUUUGUUAAAUGACAAUAUCAUUAACUUAA